rnacentral:rRNA from 1 species
UACGUAGGUGGCAAGCGUUGUCCGGAAUUAUUGGGCGUAAAGCGCGCGCAGGCGGUCCUUUAAGUCUGAUGUGAAAGCCCACGGCUCAACCGUGGAAGGUCAUUGGAAACUGGAGGACUUUGAGUACAGAAGAGGAAAGCGGAAUUCCACGUGUAGCGGUGAAAUGCGUAGAGAUGUGGAGGAACACCAGUGGCGAAGGCGGCUUCUGGUCUGUAACUGACGCUGAGG